CAAGUGUGUCCUGGGGCCAGUACAUGUGAUACCUCCCAGCCCCUUGCUCACAGUUUCUCUCCAUGACCAUUGAACCAAGCUCAGAGAUGUUAAUAGGAAAUAAAACGAGGUUAGAAACCCUGCUGACAAGAGCAAGUACUGUUCCUUCAUGUCCUCCUUCUCCUCUAGUGUUUCCGUUGCCAAGAUAUCUCACUACCAAAACAAAAUCAACAACACUACAGACACUUGGAAACUAUUCACAACAUUAUCUUCUCUUCACUGUCUCCCUCUUCUCUGAUUGCUGAUAAGGUAGCAACCAGUUCUCUAUACCACUUACCCACAGCCAGCUUCCACCCACCCAGACACAUUCCACUCUUCUCUACCUUAUCUCCUCUUACAGAGAAUGAGGUCUCCAAAGUUCUCUGUGCAACUGUCCUACAACCUGUCCAAUCUGUAGGUGCUCCAGGUGAUCUCAUCAACAUUUCCCACCAUGUUUAAAAAGGCCCAGAAACCAUGGAAACUUCAUUCAUCAUCUCUAGAGACUGAAAGAGGGAAUCAGUGAUUCACUGUGAAAGCGCAAGCAGAGUGUGUAAUUUCUAGCACUGUGGAGACAUUAAAAGAGGCCCAGGAAAACACUACUCGUGUAUAUCAAGUAAGGCUUGACCUCCAGGAGAGAAAUUUCGUUUCGAAGGCACCUAGAUCGGUGCUGCCACAUGGAGGAUACAUAGAUGUAGAACAGAAAAGUGAAAAAUCUGUUAUGGAAACACUUUAUUAUUGAUACAUAUUCUGAUUGUUAUGAAACAGAUGACUUAUAUAAUUAUUUAAUUAAGGGAUGAUUUCAUGCAGGAUACAGGCAUUUUAUCACAAUGAUGGAGUUUUAUUGUUUUAUGUGUAUUGUUUUAAGUCUAUUAUUGUUAAUUUUCUGUUUUUCAUAUAUAAGUGUUAUAUUUCAUUUCUACUGGGUAAUUAUGUCAGGAAUACCAUGUAUGUUUGUACUAUGUUUGUACUUUCUUUUUCACUUGAAGCUCCUGCUGCCAAGACAGAUUCCUUGUGUGUGUAAAUAUAUUUCGCAAUAAAGCUCUUUCUUUCUUCUGACUUCUGAAAGUUCACUCUCAAGCUUCAUCUUGACAUGAAAGAGCUCCACUUCCUCCCAGCUAUGACCUCUGUCAAGUCUCUCUCUAUUUUGGUUAAAGGUCAGCUGUUGCCUUCAGGUGUUUAGUAAAUAACAUUCCCACUAGCUGUUAGAACAGCUGAUGCUCUAACCACAUUACAAAACAACAACAAAAAGCUCUACACUGCCCUGUAGGGUGUUUGUUAUGUCAACUUAUCUUUAGAGAAUUGUAUGUA